CUUCAGAACACUAUAGUUUAAAGAUAAUUGUGUAAAAAUCAAAAUAACUUUAGAGAUCUUCAUUGUAAAUGCUUUAAACAAUGUUUUCCAUGCUUGUACAAUGAACCAUAAACAGUUAAUGAACAUGCCCCUACAUCGGUCGAAGUCACAGUU